UGCCUCGCCGUUUUGUGGGUGGAGGCUGGGAGCCAGACCCGGGUCUAUAAUAAUAAAAGACUCUUUGCUUUUGCAUUGGACACGGCUGGCUCCCUGGUGUGGUCUAUUGGGGAUCUUGAAAUCUGGGCAUAACAUUUGGGGGCUCAUCCGGGAUCCCCAAGACCCUCGAGGGACCCCCAUCAGGAGAGUCUGACUGACCGCGAGGGCUCCAGAGGGCGCACGAGGACAUUUGGCAGCACCUCCAUGCCAUCUACGAGACCGGCCCAACCCCAACUCCUCAUCAGCACAGACCAGGAGAUCGGGUCUACGUCAGAAGGCACCGCCGGGAGACCCUAGAGCCACGUUGGAAGGGUCCCUACACUGUGGUGCUGACAACCCCCACCACUCUCAAGGUAGACGGUGUCGCCACCUGGGUCCAUCACACUCAUGUCUGGUCAGCAGUCCCAUCCGUGCAAUCAAAGCAACCCACUCAAGCUCAAGCUAUGGCGUGCUCGACCUGCCUGAUUCUGGUAACAUUGCUCGCGAUCACUCCUGCCACCUGGAGCCCCCACAAUACUGUGUAAUAGACUUAGAUAAUGCCUGCAUCUUCAUGGACAUGGCUCCAAGGAGACAAGGACAAUUUAUAGGAUCACAUGUUUAGUAGCAGAAGAUUUGGCUGCCUGAAGCGGCCAUGAUGCCAAUAUUAUGUUUCAUUGUAUUGAUAUGUUGUAUUAACCUUCAAUUCUCUUACAGGUUUAAAUGUAGCUGUAGCUGUGGACCAGUGAUGGUCUACAGUCCUUAGUAGUCUUUGGAAAUAACUGGCAAGUGUCCAGUCUCCCACACUGAGGGAUAUUGUUAUAGCUAUGUAUGUUGGCUAUCCUGGAAGGGGACUGUGUGGGGUGAACCCCAAAAGUAAAGGGUGUCUAGCUGCCAAGAGGGCAGGUGCCCAACUGGGCAGGGAAGGGUGCCCAUCAGGUUUUGGUCACUGUUGAGAGACAGUUGGCAGUUGGCAGCCUGUGUACUGCUUGCAGGUCUGCGUGACCAUGCCCAUGUCAGGGGUAGUAAGCUGGAAAAGGCCUGUUUAGAAUAGAAGGUCUGUAUGUAUAUUACAUAUGAUUAAAACAGACCUUGCCCUGAAAAAAAAAAAAAAAAAAAAAAAAAAGAAUAGAAGG